rnacentral:misc_RNA from 1 species
GAUGAAGAACGUAGCGAAAUGCGAUAAGUAAUGUGAAUUGCAGAAUUCAGUGAAUCAUCGAAUCUUUGAACGCACAUUGCGCCCAUUAGUAUUCUAGUGGGCAUGCCUGUUCGAGCGUCAUUUCAACCCUUAAGCCUAGCUUAGUGUUGGGAGACUGCCUAGUACGCAGCUCCUCAAAACCAGUGGCGGAGUCUGUUCGUGCUCUGAGCGUAGUAAUUUUUUAUCUCGCUUCUGCAAGCCGGCCAGACGACAGCCAUAAACCGCACCCUCUCGGGGGGCACUUUUUUAAUGGUUGACCUCGGAUCAGGUAGGAAUACCCGCUGAACUUAAGCAUAUCAAUAAGCGGAGGA